rnacentral:rRNA from 1 species
AGGACGAACGCUGGCGGCGCGCUUAACACAUGCAAGUCGAGCGAGAACCAGUCCUUCGGGACUGGGGACAGCGGCGAACGGGUGAGUAACACGUGGGUAAUCUGCCCUCGAUUCUGGGAUAGCCCGGGGAAACCCGGAUUAAUACCGGAUAGCCUCUCGAGCUUUCGAGCUCGUGAGAAAAGGUAGCUUCGGCCUCCGAUCGAGGAUGAGCCCGCGGCGGAUUAGCUUGUUGGUGGGGUAAUGGCCUACCAAGGCGACGAUCCGUAGCUGGUCUGAGAGGACGAUCAGCCACACUGGGACUGAGACACGGCCCAGACUCCUACGGGAGGCAGCAGUGGGGAAUCUUGCGCAAUGGGCGAAAGCCUGACGCAGCGACGCCGCGGUGGGGAAGAAGGCCUUCGGGUUGUAAACCUCUUUACAGCAGGACGAAGCCACUCGGUAAUCGCCAGAGGUGACGUACUGCAGAAGAACGCCCGGACUAACGUACGUGCCGAGUCGAGCCGCGGUAAUCCGUA